rnacentral:rRNA from 1 species
UACGGAGGGUGCAAGCGUUGUCCGGAUUUAUUGGGCUUAAAGGGUGCGUAGGUGGCCCUAUAAGUCCGUGGUGAAAGCCUGCAGCUUAACUGUAGGAUUGCCAUUGAUACUGUAGGGCUUGAGUACUGAUGAGGUAGGCGGAAUUGAUAGUGUAGCGGUGAAAUGCAUAGAUAUUAUCAAGAACACCGAUUGCGAAGGCAGCUUACUAAGGAGUUACUGACACUGAGGCACGAAAGCGUGGGGAGCAAACAGG